rnacentral:lncRNA from 1 species
UAUUGUUUGAAUGUGUCCCCCAAAGUUUAUGUGUUGGAAAUUUAAUACCCCAUGCAAUAGUGUUGAGAGGUGGGACCUUUAAGAGAUGAUUAGGUCACAAAGACAAUGAAUGGAUGAAUGAGAAUGGUUUGUUGUACAAGUGAGAGCAAAGUGCUCUCUUGCUCUCUUACACUCUUGUCUUUCUGCUUUCCACCAUAGGAUGACACAGCACAAAAGUCCUGCGGGCUAUUCAGUCUCGGACUUCCCAGCCUCCAAAACUCAGUUUUACUGUGAAGAAUCCAGGGUGAUUUGCCUGCUGGAACUACAUUCAAUUGAUACUCCUUAAAGAAAGAAAACAGAAUCCAGCAGCCAUAUGCAGAAGAUUAAAACUGGACCCCUUCCUUACACCAUAUACGAAAAUUAACCUGAGAUGGAGUCUCAUUCCGUCACCUAGUGGCAUGCUCUUGGCUCACUGCAACCUCUGCUUCCCGGGUGGUGAUUCUCCUGCCUCUGCUUCCCGGGUUCAAGUGAUUCUCCUGCCUCAGCCCCCUGAGUAUCCAGGAUUACAGGUAUGCACUACCACGCCUGGCUAAUUUUUGUAUUUUUAGUAGAGAAGAGGUUUCACCAUAUUGGCCGCUGGUCUCAAACUCUUGACCUCAGGUGAUCCACCUACCUCAGCCUCCCAAAGUGCUGGGAUUACAGGCAUGACCCACAGCGCCCGGCCUAAACAUUAAGGGUUUCAACAUAUGAAUGAUUUGAUGAUGAUAUUCUAGUUAGACAUGGGGCUUUUUUGAAGAGUACUAUUUUUACUUCAGUUAUCUGUCUAGAGUAGUUUUGUGAGGAUUAAUAGAGCUGCCAGGGAAGUAAAAACUACAUCCACCCCUGCCACACAAGCCAUCUCAGGCACCACCACUGCUAUAAGUCACCACCCAGUUUUUCAGAGGAAUGUUCUGCACCGCUGCCUCUCCUUCUCACAUCUCCCCUUCAAAUCAGUUUCUACUCCCUCUGCUGAGACCAUUUUCUUAAAGCUCACUAAUA